rnacentral:rRNA from 1 species
UACGUAGGGUGCAAGCGUUAAUCGGAAUUACUGGGCGUAAAGCGUGCGCAGGCGGUUGUGCAAGACAGAUGUGAAAUCCCCGGGCUCAACCUGGGAAUUGCAUUUGUGACUGCACGGCUAGAGUGUGUCAGGGGAGGGGUAGAAUUCCACGUGUAGCAGUGAAAUGCGUAGAGAUGUGGAGGAAUACCGAUGGCGAAGGCAGCCCCCCUGGGAUAACACUGACGCUCAUGCACGAAAGCGUGGGGAGCAAACAGG